GGUGGAUUGACAGCACGCACCGAUUAAGCUCCGCUGAACAUUACGCUAAACGGUAAAAUGCGCAAACAAAUAUUUUUUCCGGGGAGAAUUGCAGUUACAUUUGGCAAGGGACCUCUGGGGUCUCUUCGUCAGGAUCCUACUAAUUCUGCAAAAGUCAUUAAAGACAACCCAUCUCUCCAGGACAAGUCUGCACCUGUAAGGGAGGAGCUGGUCAGGCAAAAUGCACUCAGUGUCGUCCGUCAGAGAGGUGGGGAUGCCUCAGAUAAAUCUGAGGUGGCUGGAGAAUACAUCCUGCAGUUUGGGAAAUACAAGGGGAAGUCCUUCCGCUGGCUUCUUGAAAAUGAUAUAGGAUAUAGGGUAUAUACCAUCUAGCUAAUCAGGAACAAGGUGAAGGAGGAGGCUGCAGGAGUGUUUAUAGCAGAGGGGCACAGCAAGGACAGCCUACUGUCAUUUGUGAACUAUGCCCUUAGCUUUCAAGAAAUCCAGUCAGUCUUCUUGACUAUGAGGCAAGGUCACAGGUUGUGACAGAGGAUGACCAGCUGGUUGGGUUUGGCUCUUGUGCCAACAACACUUGGGGAGAGAUUUGGGACAGCAGGGAUGAUGGCUAUGCAGCCUUUAUACUGAGCUAUACUGUGCUUCAGGGACAAGGAUGCACAAGUUACAGCAAUACCUGCAGAAGAAGCUGCCUUCAUCCCCCUCUGGCUCUUCUCUGAUGACACGUACGUCAAAUGCUCCUGCUGAAGCCAUGGUGAUGGAUGAAAAUGAAGAGCUGGAGAGAGUGAUGCUGAGCAUUUCUCCUACCAAGCAACAUGAGCAAAGCUCUGUUUCUGCACCAGCAUCAUCAACUGCCAGACCACCUCAGGCUUCUGGAACAUAUAGAGGUUCUUUACCAAAACAUCCUGCAUCAGCAGGCAACUCUGGAACCAGGAAUUCUUAUCCCAAUAUGAAGCAUGACUUAAAGCUUUCCGUCUCAUGUUGACCAUGUUCUGGUCAUGUUUGUGUUUUGGUGUUCUACCUGUUGUCCUAGUGACUAUGAAUUGAAACCAGUCAUGAUGAGGGUAAGUAUCAAUCUUUUGCAUAUGUGGAUGAAAAUAUAUACUGCAUGUAAAACUGCUCUGGUUACUAACACUUGAGUGCAUGUGUUUGCAUGUACAGUAUGUGUGUUAUGUUGCUUCCCCUGCUUAGGCUAAAUUCUAAUGAGUGACUACUAAAUAUUAAUCCUUUAAAAAAAAAUGAAUGAACAUAUUCUUUAUAUAUUAUUAUAAGAAAAAGUCUACUUCACUAUAUAAGACUAAGAUAAGCAGGUGAAGUAAAAGAUGGGUGCCUUAACUUACUAACACAAAUAUUUGUAUUUUGCCAGAAAUAUAAAUGACUGAAAAGACUUAUUCUGUUUUAGCACCAUCAGCUACACGGUCUAGAACAUCUAAAUUGAAGAGCUCACA